rnacentral:tRNA from 2 species
GGUACCUUGGCCGAGUGGUCUAAGGCGUCUGACUCAAGAUCAGUUCUACAUCGUAGGCGUGGGUUCGAAUCCCACAGGUACCA